rnacentral:rRNA from 1 species
CUAGAAUCUGCCCCACACUGAUCCUGUCUGAUCUUGGAAGUUAAGCAGGGUCAGGCCUGGUUAGUAUCCGGAUGGCAAACUGCCUGAAAUAUAUCUUGGGAAAAGCUACU